rnacentral:rRNA from 1 species
UACGUAGGGGGCUAGUGUUGUCCGGAAUCAUUGGGCGUAAAGAGCGUGUAGGCGGCCCGGUAAGUCCGCUGUGAAAGUCGGGGGCUCAACCCUCGAAUGCCGGUGGAUACUGUCGGGCUAGAGUGCGGAAGAGGCGAGUGGAAUUCCUGGUGUAGCGGUGAAAUGCGCAGAUAUCAGGAGGAACACCAAUUGCGAAGGCAGCUCGCUGGGACGUAACUGACGCUGAGACGCGAAAGCGUGGGGAGCAAACAGG